rnacentral:rRNA from 1 species
GUGGUGCAUGGCCGUUCUUAGUUGGUGGAGUGAUUUGUCUGGUUAAUUCCGUUAACGAACGAGACCCCCGCCUGCUAAAUAGUCCGGUGAAUGAGUCUUCAUUGACCUGGUCUUCUUAGAGGGACUUUUGGUGACUAACCGAAGGAAGUUGGGGGCAAUAACAGGUCUGUGAUGCCCUUAGAUGAUCUGGGCCGCACGCGCGCUACACUGAUGCAUUCAACGAGUGUAGAACCUUGGCCGAGAGGCCUGGGUAAUCUUGUGAACGUGCAUCGUGAUAGGGAUUGAAUAUUGCAAUUAUUAUUCAUGAACGAGGAAUUCCUAGUAAACGCAGAUCAUCAAUCUGCAUUGAUUACGUCCCUGCCCUUUGUACACACCGCCCGUCGCACCCACCGAUUGAAUCAUCAGGUGAAGCCUCGGGAUUGCGGUCCGUUCCUUCAGUGGGAUGUGGCUGUGAGAACUUGUCUAAACCUUAUCAUUAGAGGAAGGGAAGUCGAACCACC